rnacentral:lncRNA from 1 species
AUCCAUGCAUUUACACCUUUUUGGUAUUGUAAUUUUAUUACAAAAAUAACAAGUUAUAGAAACACACUUUAUCCUGUAGUUUGUAAAAAGUAUUACUUUGCUACCAUGUUUUGAGCAGAUACUUUCAAUGGCACAAAAAUAAACUUAUAGAAUAAUUAAGUAUAAUUUUUUAAAAAAAUUAGAGAGUGACAAAGUAAAAAAUGUGCUAUACUACAAGAGGGCAAAUUGAAGUUUACCCCUAGUCGGUGAAUUGCGUAUAAAGUGAUUCAAAUGGAUUCCACAAGGAGAAUUUAUACCAUUAUAGUUUUUGGAAAGCAAUACGUUGGAAGCGAAAAGUCAGAGAACGAGGAACUUGUGAGUCUGGCGAACUCAACUUCGCCUCCCCAUCCCAUCAAAAGUCAAUAGGCCGAUUCUUCGUAUAAUUGUGGGUGCAUGGGAGCUCGAAUGAUAUUGCAAUUUUAGUGUCAAAAUAAAUAUUGUCAUUGACGAUU